GACAGAGAGAAAGACAGGUAGAUAAUCAGACAGAGAGAGAGACAGGUAGAUAAACGGACAGAGAGAGAGACAGGUAGAUAAACGGACA